rnacentral:rRNA from 1 species
ACUGCUAUCGGAUUGAUACUAAGCCAUGCGAGUCAUUGUAGUAAUACAAGGCAGACGGCUCAGUAACGCGUAGUCAACCUACCCUAUGGACGGGAAUAACCUCGGGAAACUGAGAAUAAUGCCCGAUAGAACAUUAUGCCUGGAAUGGUUUAUGUUCCAAAUGAUUUAUCGCCGUAGGAUGGGACUGCGUCCUAUCAGUUUGUUGGUGAGGUAAUGGCCCACCAAGACUAUUACAGGUACGGGCUCUGAGAGGAGUGGCCCGGAGAUGGGUACUGAGACACGGACCCAGGCCCUAUGGGGCGCAGCAGGCGAGAAAACUUAGCAAUGUGCGAAAGCACGACAAGGUUAAUCCGAGUGGUUUCUGCUAAAGGAACCUUUUGUCGGUCCUAGAAACACCGAUGAAUAAGGGGUGGGCAAGUUCUGGUGUCAGCCGCCGCGGUAAAACCAGCACCUCAAGUUGUCAGGAUGAUUAUUGGGCCUAAAGCAUCCGUAGCCGGCUCUGUUAGUUUUCGGUUAAAUCUAUACGCUCAACGUAUAGGCUGCCGGGAAUACUGCAGAGCUAGGGAGUGGGAGAGGUAGACGGUACUCGGUAGGAAGGGGUAAAAUCCUUUGAUCUAUUGAUGACCACCUGUGGCGAAGGCGGUCUACCAGAACACGUCCGACGGUGAGGGAUGAAAGCUGGGGGAGCAAACCGGAUUAGAUACCCGGGUAGUCCCAGCUGUAAACUAUGCAAACUCAGUGAUGCAUUGGCUUGUGGCCAAUGCAGUGCUGCAGGGAAGCCGUUAAGUUUGCCGCCUGGGAAGUACGUACGCAAGUAUGAAACUUAAAGGAAUUGGCGGGGGAGCACCACAAGGGGUGAAG